AUACGGAGGAUCCGAGCGUUAUCCGGAUUUAUUGGGUUUAAAGGGUGCGCAGGCGGGAGAUUAAGUCGGCGGUGAAAUUUUGCAGCUCCACUGUAAAAGUGCCUUCGAAACUGGUUUCCUUGAGUGUAGAUGAAGUAGGCGGAAUUUGUGGUGUAGCGGUGAAAUGCAUAGAUAUCACGAGGAACUCCGAUUGCGCAGGCAGCUUACUAAACUACUACUGACGCUCAGGCACGAAGGCGUGGGGAUCAAACAGGAUUAGAUACCCUGGUAGUCCACGCAGUAAACGAUGAUUACUAGCUGUUUGCGAUACAAUGUAAGCGGCUGAGCGAAAGCGUUAAGUAAUCCACCUGGGGAGUACGUUCGCAAGAAUGAAACUCAAAUGAAUUGACGGGG
rnacentral:rRNA from 1 species